rnacentral:rRNA from 1 species
AUUGAACGCUGGCGGCAUGCUUUACACAUGCAAGUCGAACGGCAGCGGGGAGGAGCUUGCUUCUCUGCCGGCGAGUGGCGAACGGGUGAGUAAUACAUCGGAACGUGUCGAGAAGAGGGGGAUAACCACCCGAAAGGGUGGCUAAUACCGCAUAAAUUCUGAGGAAGAAAGCUGGGGACCUAAGAAUAGGCCUAGCGCUUUUUGAGCGGCCGAUGUCGGAUUAGCUAGUUGGUGAGGUAAAGGCUCACCAAGGCGAAGAUCUGUAGCGGGUCUGAGAGGAUGAUCCGCCACACUGGGACUGAGACACGGCCCAGACUCCUACGGGAGGCAGCAGUGGGGAAUUUUGGACAAUGGGGGCAACCCUGAUCCAGCCAUGCCGCGUGUAUGAAGAAGGCCUUAGGGUUGUAAAGUACUUUUGUUAGGGAAGAAAAGUCAGCUGUGAAUAAUGGCUGAUACUGACGGUACCUAAAGAAUAAGCACCGGCUAACUACGUG